CCUACGGGUGACAGCAGUGAGGAAUAUUGGUCAAUGGACGAGAGUCUGAACCAGCCAAGUAGCGUGAAGGAUGACUGCCCUAUGGGUUGUAAACUUCUUUUAUAUGGGAAUAAAAUGUUCCACGUGUGGGAUUUUGUAUGUACCAUAUGAAUAAGGAUCGGCUAACUCCGUGCCAGCAGCCGCGGUAAUACGGAGGAUCCGAGCGUUAUCCGGAUUUAUUGGGUUUAAAGGGAGCGUAGGUGGAUUGUUAAGUCAGUUGUGAAAGUUUGCGGCUCAACCGUAAAAUUGCAGUUGAAACUGGCAGUCGUGAGUACAGUAGAGGUAGGCGGAAUUCGUGGUGUAGCGGUGAAAUGCUUAGAUAUCACGAAGAACUCCGAUUGCGAAGGCAGCUCACUAAACUGCAACUGACACUGAGGCUCGAAAGUGUGGGUAUCAAACAGGAUUAGAUACCCCUGUAGUC
rnacentral:rRNA from 1 species